CGGUGUAAAUUUUUCAUGUGGUUGGCAGUUCACGAAAGAUGUCUGACGGCGGAUAACUUAGAGAGAAGGGAGACUUGCUCACAUCUUUUUGUGCACUGUGACUUUACCAGGCAGGUUUGGACGAGGUUCAGGGAUUGGACAGGGGCAGAUUUCAUAAUACCGGAGGUCAAUUUCAGUUCUACAGAGGAUUGGUGGCUGAAGGCGAGGGAGGGGAUCCCAAAACCAAUGAAGAAGAAAUUCGAUACUAUUGUCAUCCUUCUCCAUUGGAGGAUUUGGAAGGAAAGAAACGCGAGGAUUUUUGACAAUGUCGCUAGCUCGGCUGACAGGGUUCGGGACCUGGUAAUACAGGAUAUCCACACAUGGAGGGCAGCAGGAUGCAUUUAUGACCUGACGACGUGA
rnacentral:rRNA from 1 species